GGUGAAAUCUCAUUUUAUCAUUAAAGAUAUUAAUAAAAAUAAUUUGUUAUUAUAAUUUCUUAUUGUUGUCACUAAAUAUGAGGCUUUGGUGACUAUACUUAUAUUUUGUUACUAAAAGUUUAUCAAUAAAAGUCUAAAUUUUUAUAGUAACAGUCAUGAUUUAAUUUUUGGCAUCGAAAUAGUCACAUUAAUGCUACAGCCCAUGGU
rnacentral:lncRNA from 1 species